rnacentral:rRNA from 1 species
GACGAACGCUGGCGGCGUGCUUAACACAUGCAAGUCGAACGGAAAGGCCCUGCUUUUGUGGGGUGCUCGAGUGGCGAACGGGUGAGUAACACGUGAGUAACCUGCCCUUGACUUUGGGAUAACUUCAGGAAACUGGGGCUAAUACCGGAUAGGAGCUCCUGCUGCAUGGUGGGGGUUGGAAAGUUUCGGCGGUUGGGGAUGGACUCGCGGCUUAUCAGCUUGUUGGUGGGGUAGUGGCUUACCAAGGCUUUGACGGGUCGCCGGCCUGGGAGGGUGACCGGCGACAUGGGGACUGAGAUACGGCCCAGACGCCUACGGGAGGCAGCAGUGGGGAAUAUUGCACAAUGGGCGGAAGCCUGAUGCAGCAACGCCGCGUGCGGGAUGACGGCCUUCGGGUUGUAAACCGCUUUCGCCUGUGACGAAGCGUGAGUGACGGUAAUGGGUAAAGAAGCACCGGCUAACUACGUG